rnacentral:rRNA from 1 species
UACAGAGGGGGCAAGCGUUAUUCGGAAUUAUUGGGCGUAAAGGGCGCGUAGGCGGCUUGGCAAGUGGAAGGUGAAAUCCCUCGGCUUAACCGAGGAACUGCCCUCCAAACUGCUUUGCUUGAGGCCGGGAGAGGUGAGUGGAAUUCCCAGUGUAGCGGUGAAAUGCGUAGAUAUUGGGAGGAACACCAGUGGCGAAGGCGGCUCACUGGACCGGUUCUGACGCUGAGACGCGAAAGCGUGGGGAGCGAACAGG